CAAUCAUUUGGCCCGUUUCUCAGACACACGUUGAGUAAUGAGCUAAGACCGUUUUGUAUUUGAAGCGAGCACCCCCCCAAAAAAUGUGUUCAAUCAUGACAAAGUGUUUGUGAGAGAACGCAGCUGUUCCGAGGCCCCAAAUGAAACACGGGCAAUCGUUUAUCUCCAAAAUGAGUGGAACAGACGACCCUUAAGUAUGGAAGAACUCGAUUGGUGACAGACCGAGGCGACUUAAUGUUGCCUCUUUUCAUGCCGCACAUUGAAUUAACAGAGGAAGCCCAUUUGCAGCCGUCCGGGUGUUCCUGCUGCUCUGUUCUGGCACACGUUCCGAAGUUCCCAGGCCUGCAGCCGGGAGGAGAUGUGGGCUACCUGGACCGCACAGGCCUCAAUCAAGCGCGCAUGUCGGCAAGACGAGCGAAGGUGGCGCCAAAUGCCGUUGCUGGGACUGACCGUGUUGAUCUUCUCCUUCAGCGU